rnacentral:miRNA from 1 species
GUGACCCUCUAGAGGGAAGCACUUUCUGUUUGAAAGAAAAGAAGAUGCUUCCCUUUAGAGUGUUAC